rnacentral:sRNA from 12 species
ACUGUGGACUGUACAAGGAACUACGAGUAGCUAAGACGAAAGUAUACAGGAAGAAGCAGUAA